rnacentral:lncRNA from 1 species
AGGCUCGGCGUUGGCCUCCGCGGCCCGUGCGAGUGCGCCCUUCUCGGGUCCCCUAGGUCGCGGGGCAGCCGGGGCGGAAGGGGCUUGUUCAUUAUUUUGAGAGUUUGUUGUGAACGUCAUAACCUUUCGUCCUUAAAUAUUGCCGAUACUUGACCUACGCAAGAGACAAUGUCAUGUGAUUCAGCCUAAUAUCUCAACUGGGGCUGUGGCUGAGAUGUCACAUGGCAGAUAGGAUCACAAAUUUCUGUUGUAUCUGGAUGGAGAUCAGCAGGAGGAUCUAUGGGUGAGAAGAAGCACAGUUACAGAUGGAUUCUAGAGCCUGCUUGCUGACACAGGCUUGCAACUGCGGACUUUAUAAGCUUAGUUUUUAAUCUGCUAUCAGCUAGCAUAAUACCAUAAAUGCAUAAGAAACUAAGUAUUCAGUCUUACGAGAAAUGCUAUCUUGACCUGACCCUUUCUCCAAAUAAAUUGACAAAAUAUCUCAUCGUCUAGGAUGCCAGACAGAAAUACCAGUUGCAAUGUUUUGUUGCAUAAAGUUUAUCCUAAUUUAAAUUAGUGGCAUAUAAAGUCAUCAUCUUGCUUGAACAAACAUCUUAUUAAAUUGAGCAUGUCUUUUAUCCCAUGAAAUGAAAUUAAUUUUGAGAUAGUUAUUUUUCAGUUGGAAAUUUAUUGAGUUGAUAGAAAACAAGUUAUAUAGUCUUCCAAAGAAUAUGUUACAUCCAUUUGCAUUUUGUUUUUCUUCAGCAAUGUUUGGUUUUUAGAAAAUCUUACAAGUUAAAUAUACUAAUGUAGAAAUUGAAAGAAAAUAAUCAGAGAUAGAGCAAUAAAUUUGCAAAUAAAGAUUAUUCUUAAAAC